GACGAACGCUGGCGGCGUGUUUAACACAUGCAAGUCGAACGGUAAGGCCUUCGGGUACACGAGUGGCGAACGGGUGAGUAACACGUGGGUGAUCUGCCCCCUACUCUGGGAUAAGCCUGGGAAACUGGGUCUAAUACCGGAUAUGACCUCCUGCUUCAUGGUGGGUGGUGGAAAGUUUUUUCGGUAGGGGAUGAGCCCGCGGCCUAUCAGCUUGUUGGUGGGGUAAUGGCCUACCAAGGCGACGACGGGUAGCCGGCCUGAGAGGGCGACCGGCCACACUGGGACUGAGACACGGCCCAGACUCGUACGGGAGGCAGCAGUGGGGAAUAUUGCACAAUGGGCGAAAGCCUGAUGCAGCGACGCCGCGUGGGGGAUGACGGCCUUCGGGUUGUAAACCCCUUUCAGUCGGGACGAAGCGCAAGUGACGGUACCGAUAGAAGAAGCACCGGCCAACUACGUGCCAGCCGCCGCGGUAAAAC
rnacentral:rRNA from 1 species